rnacentral:rRNA from 1 species
UGCUGACGAGUGGCGGACGGGUGAGUAAUGUCUGGGAAACUGCCUGAUGGAGGGGGAUAACUACUGGAAACGGUAGCUAAUACCGCAUAACGUCGCAAGACCAAAGAGGGGGACCUUCGGGCCUCUUGCCAUCGGAUGUGCCCAGAUGGGAUUAGCUAGUAGGUGGGGUAACGGCUCACCUAGGCGACGAUCCCUAGCUGGUCUGAGAGGAUGACCAGCCACACUGGAACUGAGACACGGUCCAGACUCCUACGGGAGGCAGCAGUGGGGAAUAUUGCACAAUGGGCGCAAGCCUGAUGCAGCCAUGCCGCGUGUAUGAAGAAGGCCUUCGGGUUGUAAAGUACUUUCAGCGGGGAGGAAGGGAGUAAAGUUAAUACCUUUGCUCAUUGACGUUACCCGCAGAAGAAGCACCGGCUAACUCCGUGCCAGCAGCCGCGGUAAUACGGAGGGUGCAAG